AGCGAACGCUGGCGGCAUGCUUAACACAUGCAAGUCGCGCGGGUGGUUUCGGCCAUCAGCGGCGGACGGGUGCGUAUCGCGUAGGAAUGUAUCCCGAGGUGGGGGACAACCCUGGGAAACUGGGGCUAAUACCGCAUGGGUCCUGUGGGUCAAAGCCUUAGGGCGCCUUGGGAGCAGCCUGCGUCCGAUUAGGUAGUUGGUGGGGUAAAGGCCUACCAAGCCUGCGAUCGGUAGCUGGUCUGAGAGGACGAUCAGCCACACUGGGAAUGAGACACGGCCCAGACUCCUACGGGAGGCAGCAGUGGGGAAUAUUGGACGAUGGGCGCAAGCCUGAUCCAGCAAUGCCGCGUGGGUGAAGAAGGUCUUCGGAUUGUAAAGCCCUUUCGGCGGGGACGAUGAUGACGGUACCCGCAGAAGAAGCCCCGGCUAACUUCGUG
rnacentral:rRNA from 1 species